UACGUAGGGGGCAAGCGUUGUCCGGAUUUACUGGGCGUAAAGAGCGCGCAGGCGGCCUAAUCAGUCGAAUGUGAAAGCCCCCGGCUUAACUGGGGAGGGUCAUUCGAUACUGUCAGGCUCGAAGGCAGGAGAGGGAAGCGGAAUUCCCGGUGUAGUGGUGAAAUGCGUAGAUAUCGGGAGGAACACCAGUGGCGAAGGCGGCUUUCUGGCCUGUUCUUGACGCUGAGGCGCGAAAGCCAGGGGAGCGAACGGG
rnacentral:rRNA from 1 species